rnacentral:rRNA from 1 species
AUUGAACGCUGGCGGCAUGCCUUACACAUGCAAGUCGAACGGCAGCAUGGAGGAGCUUGCUCCUCUGAUGGCGAGUGGCGAACGGGUGAGUAAAGCAUCGGAACGUGCCGUGUAGUGGGGGAUAACGUAGCGAAAGUUACGCUAAUACCGCAUACGCACCGAGGUGGAAAGCAGGGGAUCGCAAGACCUUGCGCUAUACGAGCGGCCGAUGUCAGAUUAGCUAGUUGGUAGGGUAAAGGCCUACCAAGGCGACGAUCUGUAGCGGGUCUGAGAGGAUGAUCCGCCACACUGGGACUGAGACACGGCCCAGACUCCUACGGGAGGCAGCAGUGGGGAAUUUUGGACAAUGGGGGAAACCCUGAUCCAGCCAUGCCGCGUGAGUGAAGAAGGCCUCGGUGUAAG